UGGGGCGUCGUCAAGUGGUAAGACUCAGGACUUUGGAUCCUGCAUCGGAGGUUCGAAUCCUCCCGCCCCAGCCA
rnacentral:tRNA from 1 species